GGUUUGCCGCGUCUGCUGUGAAAGCCCGGGGCUUAACUCCGGGUGUGCAGUGGGUACGGGCAGACUGGAGUGCAGUAGGGGAGACUGGAAUUCCUGGUGUAGCGGUGAAAUGCGCAGAUAUCAGGAGGAACACCGAUGGCGAAGGCAGGUCUCUGGGCUGUUACUGACGCUGAGGAGCGAAAGCAUGGGGAGCGAACAGGAUUAGAUACCCUGGUAGUCCAUGCCGUAAACGUUGGGCACUAGGUGUGGGGGACAUUCCACGUUUUCCGCGCCGUAGCUAACGCAUUAAGUGCCCCGCCUGGGGAGUACGGCCGCAAGGCUAAAACUCAAAGGAAUUGACGGGGGCCCGCACAAGCGGCGGAGCAUGCGGAUUAAUUCGAUGCAACGCGAAGAACCUUACCAAGGCUUGACAUCAACCGGACCGGGCCAGAGAUGGUCUUUCCCUUCGGGGCUGGUUGACAGGUGGUGCAUGGUUGUCGUCAGCUCGUGUCGUGAGAUGUUGGGUUAAGUCCCGCAACGAGCGCAACCCUUGUCCUAUGUUGCCAGCACGUAGUGGUGGGGACUCAUGGGAGACUGCCGGGGUCAACUCGGAGGAAGGUGGGGAUGACGUCAAAUCAUCAUGCCCCUUAUGUCUUGGGCUUCACGCAUGCUACAAUGGCCGGUACAGUGGGUUGUGAUGCCGUGAGGUGGAGCUAAUCCCUAAAAGCCGGUCUCAGUUCGGAUCGAAGUCUGCAACUCGACUUCGUGAAGUUGGAGUCGCUAGUAAUC
rnacentral:rRNA from 1 species